rnacentral:rRNA from 1 species
GACGAACGCUGGCGGCGUGCCUAAUACAUGCAAGUUGAGCGAUGAAGAUUGGUGCUUGCACCAAUUUGCAGAGCAGCGAACGGGUGAGUAACGCGUGGGGAAUCUGCCUUUGAGCGGGGGACAACAUUUGGAAACGAAUGCUAAUACCGCAUAACAACUUUAAACAUAAGUUUUAAGUUUGAAAGAUGCAAUUGCAUCACUCAAAGAUGAUCCCGCGUUGUAUUAGCUAGUUGGUGAGGUAAAGGCUCACCAAGGCGAUGAUACAUAGCCGACCUGAGAGGGUGAUCUGCCACAAUGGGACUGAGACACGGCCCAAACUCCUACGGGAGGCAGCAGUAGGGAAUCUUCGGCAAUGGACGAAAGUCUGACCGAGCAACGCCGCGUGAGUGAAGAAGGUUUUCGGAUCGUAAAACUCUGUUGGUAGAGAAGAACGUUGGUGAGAGUGGAAAGCUCAUCAAGUGACGGUAACUACCCAGAAAGGGACGGCUAACUACGUG